CGUAUAGUCUAUAAGUCUAUUUUUUAUAACUUACGAAACUGCAGCCGACCUUUCACUGCUGGAGAAAAAAGUAACGUUACUGUUGCAAAUCCGCAUAUCACGUAAACUCUGUGAUUAAGUUAUUUAAUUUCCUUUUGUGUUUCCCGUAAGAAAGAACUUGAAGAAAGUUUCUUUUUCAUCGCGAGUUAUAACGGCACUUCCGUGUUCAGGAAGAAAGUGGUGCUCGUUCUUCUUUAUUUGCUCUCUUAUUUACCACACAGUUUUCCAAACUUGGACAUACCCGAAAGUGCGCAAGAAUAACAGGGAUGCUGACUUAUUUCUGUCUUCUUCCCGGAUGCAGCAGAUCACGACUGCAACAACAAUCAACAGAGAUCCGGCAGCAGCAGAACAGAUCAACACUAUCAGAGACACGGACACUGGAGGAG